rnacentral:misc_RNA from 1 species
AAUCCUCAACCCUUCUCCCUUUUUGGGAAAAUGGUUUGGAAUUUGGAGGCUUUUGCUGGCCCCUUCUUUUUGAAGCCAGCUCCUCUUAAAUGCAUUAGCAGGGUCUCCUUUAGCCGGAUCCCUCGACGUGAUAAAGUUUUUACGUCCUGGGGGCUUACUUGGCUCUAACCUGCUUCCAAUCGUCUCGUCGAGACUAAAACUGAAUCUGA